GUGCUCACUUCGAUAGCACAUACGCUAGAAUUGGAACGAUACAGAGAAGAUUUGCGUGGCCCCUGUGCAAAGAUGACAUGCAAAUUCCUGAAGCAUGACAUAUUUUU